AGUCAAUAGAUACCCGGGUAGUCCACGCCGUAAACGAUGAGUACUAGGUGUAGGAGGUAUCGACUCCUUCUGUGCCGCAGUUAAACACAAUAAGUACUCCGCCUGGGAAGUACGGUCGCAAGAUUAAAAACCUCAAACGGAAUUGGCGGGGGGUCCCGGCACAAGCAGCGGAGCAUGUGGUUUAACUUCGAAGCAACGCGAAGAACCUUACCUAGACUUGACAUCUCCUGAAUAGCGCAGAGAUGCGUGAAGCCCUUCGGGGUCAGGAAGACCAGGUGGUGCAUGGUUGUCGUCAGCUCGUGUCGUGAGAUGUU
rnacentral:rRNA from 1 species